AGAGUUUGAUCCUGGCUCAGAACGAACGCUGGCGGAAGGCUUAACACAUGCAAGUCGAGCGCGUCCUUCGGGGCGAGCGGCAGACGGGUGAGUAACGCGUGGGAACGUACCUUUUGGUUCGGAAUAGCCCCGGGAAACUGGGAGUAAUACCGGAUAAGCCCUUCGGGGGAAAGAUUUAUCGCCAAAAGAUCGGCCCGCGUCAGAUUAGCUAGUUGGUGAGGUAAUGGCUCACCAAGGCGACGAUCUGUAGCUGGUCUGAGAGGAUGAUCAGCCACACUGGGACUGAGACACGGCCCAGACUCCUACGGGAGGCAGCAGUGGGGAAUCUUGGACAAUGGGGGAAACCCUGAUCCAGCCAUUCCGCGUGGAUGAUGAAGGCCUUAGGGUUGUAAAAUCCUUUCAGCAGGGAAGAUAAUGACUGUACCUGCAGAAGAAGCCCCGGCUAACUCCGUGCCAGCAGCCGCGGUAAUACGGAGGGGGCUAGCGUUGUUCGGAAUUACUGGGCGUAAAGCGCGCGUAGGCGGACCAGCCAGUCAGAGGUGAAAGCCCGGAGCUCAACUUCGGAACUGC
rnacentral:rRNA from 1 species